rnacentral:lncRNA from 1 species
CAACAUCUCCAGCGAGGAUACGUUAUUUUAGCAAGUGGGUGUUAAGCCAGACAUAACCACUAGGGGACAGUAAAAACAACCCUUAAGGUCAGUAUUCCUCCAAGACCCCACCUACUCUCACCUGAGGCCAAGAUGGGCGGUGCCUCACCUGGCUUUCACCUAGCGCUCUUAACCACUUCCUGCCUAAUGUGAAGUACCUCCCCGAGAUGGAGUCUUUCUUAGUAGAACUGGUGGCCAAUUUUGAUCGGAGGGAGGGUGUCCAGUCCGGGGGUGGGAGUGAAGUCAUGGUUUCCAGAAACUCAGACCCUUGUCCUUGUCCUAGCUGGAGAGGCUAUAGAAUUCUCUGCUUCAGAUGGGUAGGUCUCUUUUCUAAGCAGUGAAAGUCAAGUGAGGUGGUUACUGCGCUGGAACCCCUGGGACAAGCUUUAGUGGAGACUGUUCAAGUAGCUUCAAAAUCCAGACUUCCGCCUCCCUGCAGCCAUUUAUCUGUCAAGGGGCUUCAGCCAGAGGGAGGGAGGAAGGCAGCUCACCAGUGAAGGGAAGACGACAGGAUGGGAGCAGGAGGUAAGAAGUUAAGACAGGGUUCGAAAGCGGAUGGCUUUCGGCAGCUUUCAGGUACCCGCUUUGCGUGUCGUUCCUCCUGUUACUGGCAGCCUUUCAGGGCUCAGAUCAGCCGAAGUUCCGGGAUUGCGUUCCGGGCCUUAACGUGUUAAACUGUGGGAGUGGGGUCCGGAGUCCCUCCCUCCCUCCUUCGCGAAUCAAGUGUCACCACUUCCAAGUCCACCAGACUGGCACGCUAGGAGUUAAGUCUGCCCGCAAUCCGCAAGACUGGAGCCGGAGAGGGAGGAGGAGGGGGGAGGGGGAAUGCAAGGAGCUGGGGGAAGCAGACUGCAGGGAGACAGCGCCUGGAACCCCCUCCCCAGGGACCUGGCCCUGGGCCCCCAGCCCCAAAAGGGGCCCUGCCCUCCCCGGGGUCGCGCUCUCUUCCCCCCCGCCCUGCCCCCGCCCUCCAGCUUUGUGUCCCCAGGAGGGUGGGCUGCAGGAUUUCCAGCCAAGCCUUGGCUGCCUGCUCAGUUUUUCCAAACCCUCCAGUAGGAGAAGGCGGGAGCCUUGUCAGGAUAAGAGUCCCUCCCCCCUCUGCCCCUGCCGGCCCCCUGGUCCAGCUUGGAGUUUCCUGUCCUCGCAGCUUUCGAAACUCCUUUCCCUUUCCCACCCUGGCCCCAGCGCCCCCUAGCCACACCUCUGUUGGUUCCCAAGUUCCAAGUUCAGGUUGGAGGGGCCAGGUGGACUCCACAAUCCUAGCGAGGCGCUGGUAAAGCCUCACUCUGCCGGCCGACCCAGAGACCUGCGGGGUGUCGGCCUGACUCCCGGCCUGGGCCCGCCCUGUCCCAGGACUCGGCCUCUGGCCACCAGGAAGGUGGCUCUUGGGGUCUCCCGCUCCCGGAAGGAGGCGGUGCCGGGGACGUCGGCACAGCUGGGCGGUAAGGUCGGUUCGGCAGAUGCCAGGCCCUAAGGCAUACUUCAAGGAGGGGCAAUGUUCCCAGCGCUGGCACAGCUCUGUCCAGAGAGUCUAUUAUAUAAUAAUCACCAUCUAUCAGGAAGCCAGGCUGCUGGAGAGAGUGGGUAAGCCAGGAUGCCCGGAUCCGCGCCUCAUCCAGGGCCCAGAAAGGUGUCUCCAUCAAGCUACGCACAGUGUGGGGCAAAGCCCAGUGGUCGGAUGACGAUGAUGAUGGUGACAGGAGGGGGAUUCCAGGGACUAGU